rnacentral:rRNA from 1 species
UAGGGAAUCUUCGGCAAUGGGGGCAACCCUGACCGAGCAACGCCGCGUGAGUGAAGAAGGUUUUCGGAUCGUAAAGCUCUGUUGUAAGAGAAGAACGUGUGUGAGAGUGGAAAGUUCACACAGUGACGGUAACUUACCAGAAAGGGACGGCUAACUACGUGCCAGCAGCCGCGGUAAUACGUAGGUCCCGAGCGUUGUCCGGAUUUAUUGGGCGUAAAGCGAGCGCAGGCGGUUUAAAGAGUCUGAAGUUAAAGGCAGUGGCUUAACCAUUGUUCGCUUUGGAAACUGUUAAACUUGAGUGCAGAAGGGGAGAGUGGAAUUCCAUGUGUAGCGGUGAAAUGCGUAGAUAUAUGGAGGAACACCGGUGGCGAAAGCGGCUCUCUGGUCUGUAACUGACGCUGAGGCUCGAAAGCGUGGGGAGCAAACAGG